rnacentral:lncRNA from 14 species
CAGCAGAACAUGAAGGCGUUUGUGGGGGGAUGCCUUUCUCUUUUUAUUAAUUCAGUUGUUUUGUAGCUAGGCCACUUGAGUGGAGGGCUGGAACAAUGUGGCCUUCAAUCCUCUCAGCUAGAAGAGAGAAUUAAAAGUAGGUCUGCAGCAUUCAGGCUGAAUGUUAAACCACUGAACAAUUGAAGGAGGGAGGGUGGAACCAUCACAAGCGGCUGUGUUUCUAAUUGUGAUUCUUUUCCCCCCCUUUUUUUUGGCAAAUGAAGGAUCUUGGGCAAUGAUCCCAGCAGAAGGGAUUAAAGCAAUCAGUUCUACCUGAAGAAAGAUUCUUUCCUGCUCUUCAAGGUGGGGCAGAGAACAGCAGCACCGUUACAACUGUAUUUGGUGAAGUCCUACUACAUGGUAGACCUACGGCAAAGAAGUCAUCAAACUUGACUGAAAUGGUGAGGAAUAUACUGCAAAACUGCUAAACUGCUUCUCUUACUGGAAGAUGACUGUAGGCCACCUAAACUGCAGAGGAGGAUAAACUGUUGCCAUGGAGUGCUGGUUACAACUGCCUGAUUAUCAGAAACCCUACCUCGUAGCAACUAGAGCCAAAUUAGGAGUUUGCCCCACCUUAUUUCUGUGGCAGCUGAAAUAUUCAUCUGGUGAAUCUUGCAUUUCUCUUCUAUAUGCGGCUGAUGUCAGAC